AAUUUUUAAAGCGCCAGAACUUAAGUAAAUUACUUUAGUUGAUUGAAUGUGGAUGUUUAGAGUUUUUUUUAAGGAAACUCGACUCACAUACGUUCGCUGAGUAAGUUCCACUAACCAAAUCAUAGAUUUGGAGUGUCACUUGCACUGUGUGUAAGUUCGCAUUACCCAAAUCAUAGAUUUGGAUGCUCACUUAAGUUGACGAGGUUGGGGAGUUAUCGAAACUUCGGCGGGUGCCCCACGGUAUAGCACUACCGUUAACAGCUGGCAAAACUUUAAAGUGAUUUAAAGUACAAAUCCAGU
rnacentral:ncRNA from 1 species